AAUAGAUACCCCGGUAGUCCACGCCGUAAACGAUGAAUGCUAGGUGUUAGGGGUUUCGAUACCCUUGGUGCCGAAGUUAACACAUUAAGCAUUCCGCCUGGGGAGUACGGCCGCAAGGCUGAAACUCAAAGGAAUUGACGGGGACCCGCACAAGCAGUGGAGUAUGUGGUUUAAUUCGAAGCAACGCGAAGAACCUUACCAGGUCUUGACAUCCCCCUGACCGGUACAGAGAUGUACCUUUCCUUCGGGACAGGGGAGACAGGUGGUGCAUGGUUGUCGUCAGCUCGUGUCGUGAGAUGUUGGGUUAAGUCCCGCAACGAGCGCAACCCUUGACUUUAGUUGCCAGCAGGUUAAGGCUGGGCACUCUAGAGUGACUGCCGGUGACAAACCGGAGGAAGGUGGGGAUGACGUCAAAUCAUCACGCCCCUUAUGACCUGGGCUACACACGUACUACAAUGGCCGGUACAACGGGAAGCGAAGGAGCGAUCUGGAGCGAAUCCUAUAAAGCCGGUCUCAGUUCGGAUUGCAGGCUGCAACUCG
rnacentral:rRNA from 1 species